AGUGCCGUUGAUACUGUGAGGCUAGGAUUUGGUUGCUGUGGGUGGAAUGUGUGGUGUAGCGGUGAAAUGCUUAGAGAUCACACAGAAUAUCGAUUGCGAAGGCAGCUCACAAAGCCAAGAUUGACGCUGAGGCACGAAAGUGUGGGGAUCAAACAGGAUUAGAUACCCUGGUAGUCCACACUGUAAACGAUGAUAACUCGCUGUCGGCGAUAUACAGUCGGUGGCCAAGCGAAAGCGAUAAGUUAUCCACCUGGGGAGUACGACCGCAAGGUUGAAACUCAAAGGAAUUGACGGGGGCCCGCACAAGCGGAGGAACAUGUGGUUUAAUUCGAUGAUACGCGAGGAACCUUACCCGGGCUCGAACGGUGCAGGAAUAUGGUAGAGAUAUCAUAGCUAGCAAUAGUCUGUAUCGAGGUGCUGCAUGGUUGUCGUCAGCUCGUGCCGUGAGGUGUCGGCUUAAGUGCCAUAACGAGCGCAACCCUUGUCAUUAGUUACCAUCAGGUCAAGCUGGGGGACUCUAAUGAGACUGCCGGGGGAUAACUCGGAGGAAGGUGGGGGAUGACGUCAAAUCAUCAUGCCCCAUUAUGGUCCUGGGCUACACACGUGCUACAAUGGUCGGUACAACGAGAGCAAUACUGUGAAGUGAGCAAAUCUUCCAAAGCGACCCCAGUUCGGAUUGUAGCUGAACUCGC
rnacentral:rRNA from 1 species